rnacentral:rRNA from 1 species
UCGAGAAUUUUUCACAAUGGGGGAAACCCUGAUGGAGCGACGCCGCGUGGAGGAUGAAGGCGUUUUCGUCGUAAACUCCUGUCAUGCGAGAACAAGAAAGUGAUAGUAUCGCAAGAGGAAGAGACGGCUAACUCUGUGCCAGCAGCCGCGGUAAUACAGAGGUCUCAAGCGUUGUUCGGAUUCAUUGGGCGUAAAGGGUGCGUAGGUGGCAUGGUAAGUUGAAGGUGAAAUCUCGGAGCUCAACUCCGAAACUGCCUUCAAUACUGCUGUGCUUGAGGACUGUAGAGGAGAAUGGAAUUCACGGUGUAGCAGUGAAAUGCGUAGAUAUCGUGAGGAAGACCAGUGGCGAAGGCGAUUCUCUGGGCAGUUCCUGACACUGAGGCACGAAGGCUAGGGGAGCAAACGGGAUUAGAUACCCCCGUAGUCC